AAAAUAAAAAAAGUUAAUAGAGCCACAAUGACAAUCACAAGUUAUUUGUCAUUAGAAGAAAACGUCAAAGGUUUUUAAGGCAAACACUCCAAUAGUUCAGGUUUGAAAUUGCUUUGCAUAUUUUAAAUGUAUUCUCUCCUUUUUAUCUCUAGUAUAAUACAAAAACAUUUAAAAUGAUUUCAUUGAUUCCUGGAACAAGGCACUAAAAUUGUGGGCUGAUAAGCUUCUUAGGUAUCCUCAGCAACCUUGAUACAUGUCUAAAUAAGAAAAUGUGUGAAGGAAAAUAAAACCAUGGCUGGUGUUACUGAUACUUGAUAAUUGUCUUUCCCACAAUGCUGGAUAGCCUAGCUUUUCUUUUCUCAUGUCAGGGUGAUUACCAAACAAAUUUUAUUUGGGUCAUAAAAGAGUAAUUUUAUAAAGAUUAUUAUAAGAACUGAAAGGUUAA
rnacentral:lncRNA from 1 species